rnacentral:lncRNA from 1 species
GCUGCAACUCCAUGGCCUUCAAGUCUUCUAAAUCGUAUUCAUCUUCCUCAAUGAUUUCUUCUUCUACAUCGUCAGCCCUGACCACAAACAUUCGUAACUCGCGAAUCUCCCUUGCCUUGCACUUGUGCCCGGAGUAAUACUUCUCAUCACACUUAAAACAGAGUCCCUUCUCUCUCUUGGCCUGGAAUUCCGCGUCCGAUAGUCGUCUAGAGGGUCCUUCUUUCCUAACCUCCUUCGCCGGCGA